GACGAACGCUGGCGGCGUGCUUAACACAUGCAAGUCGAACGGAAAGGCCCUGCUUUUGUGGGGUGCUCGAGUGGCGACCGGGUGAGUAACACGUGAGUAACCUGUCCUUGACUUUGGGAUAACUUCAGGCAACUGGGGCUCAUACCGGGUAGGAGCUCCUGCUGCAUGGUGGGGGUUGGACAGUUUCGGCGGUUGGGGAUGGACUCGCGGCUUAUCAGCUUGUUGGUGGGGUAGUGGCUUACCAAGGCUUUGACGGGUAGCCUGCCUGAGAGGGUGACCGGCCACAUUGGGACUGAGCUACGGCCCAGACUACUACGGGAGGCAGCAGUGGGGAAUAUUGCACAAUGGGCGGGAGGCUGAUGCGGCAACGCCGCGUGCGGGAUGACGGCCUUCGGGUUGUAAACCGCUUUCGCCUGUGACGAAGCGUUAGUGACGGUAAUGGGUAAAGAAGCACCGGCUAACUACGUG
rnacentral:rRNA from 1 species